UAGCGGAGGAAAAGAAACCAACAGGGAUUGCCUUAGUAACGGCGAGUGAAGCGGCAAAAGCUCAAAUUUGAAAUCUGGCACCUUCGGUGUCCGAGUUGUAAUUUGAAGAAGGUAACUUUGGAGUUGGCUCUUGUCUAUGUUCCUUGGAACAGGACGUCACAGAGGGUGAGAAUCCCGUGCGAUGAGAUGCCCAAUUCUAUGUAAAGUGCUUUCGAAGAGUCGAGUUGUUUGGGAAUGCAGCUCUAAGUGGGUGGUAAAUUCCAUCUAAAGCUAAAUAUUGGCGAGAGACCGAUAGCGAACAAGUACAGUGAUGGAAAGAUGAAAAGAACUUUGAAAAGAGAGUGAAAAAGUACGUGAAAUUGUUGAAAGGGAAGGGCUUGAGAUCAGACUUGGUAUUUUGCGAUCCUUUCCUUCUUGGUUGGGUUCCUCGCAGCUUACUGGGCCAGCAUCGGUUUGGAUGGUAGGAUAAUGACUAAGGAAUGUGGCUCUACUUCGGUGGAGUGUUAUAGCCUUGGUUGAUACUGCCUGUCUAGACCGAGGACUGCGUCUUUUGACUAGGAUGUUGGCAUAAUGAUCUUAAGCCACCCGUCUUGA
rnacentral:rRNA from 1 species